rnacentral:rRNA from 1 species
AGUGAACGCUGGCGGUAGGCCUAACACAUGCAAGUCGAACGGCAGCACAGUAAGAGCUUGCUCUUACGGGUGGCGAGUGGCGGACGGGUGAGGAAUACAUCGGAAUCUACUUUUUCGUGGGGGCUAACGUAGGGAAACUUACGCUAAUACCGCAUACGACCUACGGGUGAAAGCAGGGGAUCUUCGGACCUUGCGCGAUUGAAUGAGCCGAUGUCGGAUUAGCUAGUUGGCGGGGUAAAGGCCCACCAAGGCGACGAUCCGUAGCUGGUCUGAGAGGAUGAUCAGCCACACUGGAACUGAGACACGGUCCAGACUCCUACGGGAGGCAGCAGUGGGGAAUAUUGGACAAUGGGCGCAAGCCUGAUCCAGCCAUACCGCGUGGGUGAAGAAGGCCUUCGGGUUGUAAAGCCCUUUUGUUGGGAAAGAAAAGCAGCAGGUUAAUACCCCGCUGUUCUGACGGUACCCAAAGAAUAAGCACCGGCUAACUUCGUG